rnacentral:lncRNA from 1 species
GGAGAAUGGCAUGAACCCGGGAGGCGGAGCUUGCAUUGAGUGGAGAUCACACCACUGCACUCCAGCCUGGGCGACAGAGCAAGACUCCGUCUCGAAAAAAAAAAAAAAAAAAAUCCAUUGACCUGGAAUAUAACAUGCUGGGAUUCGAAAAAGAGACACAGAAGAAAAAGAACAGUAAAUACCAUAUAUAUGAAUAUCAGAUUUUGGUAAAAUAGAAAUAGUACUUGUCUUCUGUGUGUCCUACUCAAUUUAUUAAUAAAUGCAUAAAAGGAAACAAAAUAGGGUGUACCUUGAAGUUAGAUUAAAUGAAAAUUAGAUGGGGCAUUGAAAGGUAGUGAGCAGCCACCCUUCUGAACCUUCUAUUGGAAUUUACCUGACUGCUGAGCAGAGAAGAGCUUAUCUAUUUUCCAAAGGCUUCCAGCUCAAAUUGGGUUUCAAUGACUUUUAACAAGUUAAUUAACCUCUGUGCACCUCAUUUUCUUACUCUGUAAAAUGGACAUAGUCAC